rnacentral:sRNA from 1 species
GGCAGAAGUUACAUCAUUGGAGAGAUGGUAUUGCAGAUAAAGCUGGAUUGGAAUAGCUCUUCGAGAGAGACGGGAAAUAAAACUUAUUGGGAUUUUUAUAAUGUUUUCUUAUUUAUGUUUGUUUGGUUUUGUUAUUUUAAGGAAACAAUUAAGAUUUGAUUUGUUGUAAUGUAUGAACUUAUGAUGUGUGUAUGGUUUGUUUAUGUGGU